rnacentral:rRNA from 1 species
AGUGAACGCUGGCGGUAGGCCUAACACAUGCAAGUCGAACGGCAGCACAGUAAGAGCUUGCUCUUACGGGUGGCGAGUGGCGGACGGGUGAGGAAUACAUCGGAAUCUACUUUUUCGUGGGGGAUAACGUAGGGAAACUUACGCUAAUACCGCAUACGACCUACGGGUGAAAGCGGGGGAUCUUCGGACCUUGCGCGAUUGAAUGAGCCGAUGUCGGAUUAGCUAGUUGGCGGGGUAAAGGCCCACCAAGGCGACGAUCCGUAGCUGGUCUGAGAGGAUGAUCAGCCACACUGGAACUGAGACACGGUCCAGACUCCUACGGGAGGCAGCAGUGGGGAAUAUUGGGCAAUGGGCGCAAGCCUGAUCCAGCCAUACCGCGUGAGUGAAGAAGGCCUUCGGGUUGUAAAGCCCUUUUGUUGGGAAAGAAAAGCAGCAGAUUAAUACCCCGCUGUUCUGACGGUACCCAAAGAAUAAGCAACGGCUAACUUCGUG